rnacentral:rRNA from 1 species
UGGGGAAUAUUGGACAAUGGGGGGAACCCUGAUCCAGCCAUGCCGCGUGUGUGAAGAAGGCCUUAUGGUUGUAAAGCACUUUAAGCGAGGAGGAGGGUACUGGUAUUAAUACUACCAGGUACUGGACGUUACUCGCAGAAUAAGCACCGGCUAACUCUGUGCCAGCAGCCGCGGUAAUACAGAGGGUGCGAGCGUUAAUCGGAUUUACUGGGCGUAAAGCGUGCGUAGGCGGCUAAUUAAGUCAAAUGUGAAAUCCCCGAGCUUAACUUGGGAAUUGCAUUCGAUACUGGUUAGCUAGAGUGUGGGAGAGGAUGGUAGAAUUCCAGGUGUAGCGGUGAAAUGCGUAGAGAUCUGGAGGAAUACCGAUGGCGAAGGCAGCCAUCUGGCCUAACACUGACGCUGAGGUGCGAAAGCAUGGGGAGCAAACAGG